rnacentral:rRNA from 1 species
ACCGGCGCACGGGUGCGUAACGCGUAUGCAAUCUACCUUGUACAGGGGAAUAGCUUUCGGAAACGAGAAUUAAUACCCCAUAGUAGGAAGAUAACGCCUGUUAUCUUUCUUAAAGCUUCGGUGGUACAAGCGGAGCAUGCGUCCCAUUAGCUAGUAGGUGAGGUAACGGCUCACCUAGGCGAUGAUGGGUAGGGGUUCUGAGAGGAAGAUCCCCCACACUGGCACUGAGACACGGGCCAGACUCCUACGGGAGGCAGCAGUAGGGAAUAUUGGUCAAUGGGCGCAAGCCUGAACCAGCCAUGCCGCGUGCAGGAAGAAGGCCCGUAAGGUUGUAAACUGCUUUUAUAGGAGAACAAACCCCUCCGGCGGGAGGGUCUGAGGGUAUCCUAAGAAUAAGCACCGGCUAACUCCGUGCCAGCAGCCGCGGUAAUACGGAGGGUGCAAGCGU